rnacentral:lncRNA from 12 species
CACUAUGAUUAAACAACGCCGUGCAUGAGCUGUUUGUGUCCGAUACCUCCAGAUGCUUUUGUAGAUUAUUAAACUAACAAGCUCCUGGACGACAUUGGUAUUGUGCUUGUUGCAAUACAUUUGCUGACGUUUCACGGGAUUAUAGGUUGAAUUACAAUCUCUGGAUGGACGGAAACGACUAUAUGCCGUGUCGUGUGGAUUAAUGAGAGAGAGACACGCGUGGGAAUCGAGACACCUGCUACCUGUAACUUUUCUCUCUCGAAAGCUCUUCAUUGCGCUUACGUUCGCUGGUUGACACGGUCUUUUUCUAUUUAACGCUUAACUGGUUUGUUUGGUAUAGGCUAAUGGACAUGAUAGCUGUAGAUAAAGUUCACCAGCAUCACAAUCCAACAGAUUCUCGCUGGGAAUUCGUCGCUGGACUGUAGACGUCGAUCGGGAGAUAUUUUGGAGGAGCGCGGUUGUUUAUCAUCACAAACGGGAUUUAUUCGUGGAAACUACGAUGUCCGUUAUACGCUCUUGGAUGGAAACUCUGUUGCUGUGUAUGUUCAUUUCAGAUGGUAAGUCAAAUCUAAUGAUCUCUUCCUCAUGCAAUGUGUGGAAAGGUUAAAGAUGUUGAACUAAGGUCAGCGGUUAUAUGUUUCACAGUGCUAUGGUCGUCUUGAAAGUUUAGUGGCUCUCUGAGUGAUUAGUGGAGUUUGGAGCUGAUUGCUGAAUGGAAAUAAAGCAGCCCCAGUGUGCAGCGCUGACCUUGGCCCAGCCUUAGAAGCAAGUUUAAGAGAAAUUUAAACACGCAGCCAUCAGAGAGG